GGUGGCUCAGUGGUAGAACGCUUGCCUUGCAUGCAUGAGACCCUGGGUUCGAUUCCCCAGUACCA
rnacentral:tRNA from 1 species